UUACGACCAUAUCACGUUGAAACACCGAUUGCGUACGAUACCCGAAGUUAAGCAACAUCGAGCCUAGUCAGUACCUAGAUGGGUUACCGCUUGGGAAUACCAGGUGCUGUAAG